CGGGAAAAGCUCAAAUUUAAAAUCUGGUAGUCUCUGGCUGCCCGAGUUGUAAUCUAGAGAAGUGUUAUCCGUGCUGGACCGUGUAUAAGUCUCCUGGAAUGGAGCGUCAUAGAGGGUGAGAAUCCCGUCUUUGACACGGACUCCCAGUGCAUUGUGAUGCGCUCUCGAA
rnacentral:rRNA from 1 species